rnacentral:rRNA from 1 species
UACGUAGGGGGCAAGCGUUAACCGGAAUUACUGGGCGUAGAGGGCGUGUAGGCGGCCUUUUAAGUCAGACGUGAAAUCUCCAGGCUUAACCUGGAAACUGCGUUUGAAACUGGAGGGCUUGAGGAUCGGAGAGGGCAGUGGAAUUCCCAGUGUAGCGGUGAAAUGCGUAGAUAUUGGGAGGAACACCAGUGGCGAAGGCGACUGCCUGGACGACACCUGACGCUGAGGCGCGAAAGCUAGGGGAGCAAACGGG